GACAGUUAAGUUAACUACAUUCGUAAAUGUCAUUCUAGAGCGCCGAUAUUUUCAUACAAUUCGCUACCAUGAGUAACAUAUUUGACAGAUGUCACCCUGUUUAGCGUUACUAUUAUAGUUGCAUCACUCACUUGAAAAAAUCUAGCCGUAUAUCCCGUU